GAUGAACGCUGGCGGCGUGCCUAAUACAUGCAAGUCGAGCGAACGGACGAGAAGCUUGCUUCUCUGAUGUUAGCGGCGGACGGGUGAGUAACACGUAGAUAACCUACCUAUAAGACUGGGAUAACUUCGGGAAACCGGAGCUAAUACCGGAUAAUAUUUUGAACCGCAUGGUUCAAAAGUGAAAGACGGUCUUGCUGUCACUUAUAGAUGGAUCCGCGCUGCAUUAGCUAGUUGGUAAGGUAACGGCUUACCAAGGCAACGAUGCAUAGCCGACCUGAGAGGGUGAUCGGCCACACUGGAACUGAGACACGGUCCAGACUCCUACGGGAGGCAGCAGUAGGGAAUCUUCCGCAAUGGGCGAAAGCCUGACGGAGCAACGCCGCGUGAGUGAUGAAGGUCUUCGGAUCGUAAAACUCUGUUAUUAGGGAAGAACAUAUGUGUAAGUAACUGUGCACAUCUUGACGGUACCUAAUCAGGAAGCCACGGCUAACUACGUGCCAGCAGCCGCGGUAAUACGUAGGUGGCAAGCGUUAUCCGGAAUUAUUGGGCGUAAAGCGCGCGUAGGCGGUUUUUUAAGUCUGAUGUGAAAGCCCACGGCUCAACCGUGGAGGGUCAUUGGAAACUGGAAAACUUGAGUGCAGAAGAGGAAAGUGGAAUUCCAUGUGUAGCGGUGAAAUGCGCAGAGAUAUGGAGGAACACCAGUGGCGAAGGCGACUUUCUGGUCUGUAACUGACGCUGAUGUGCGAAAGCGUGGGGAUCAAACAGGAUUAGAUACCCUGGUAGUCCACGCCGUAAACGAUGAGUGCUAAGUGUUAGGGGGUUUCCGCCCCUUAGUGCUGCAGCUAACGCAUUAAGCACUCCGCCUGGGGAGUACGACCGCAAGGUUGAAACUCAAAGGAAUUGACGGGGACCCGCACAAGCGGUGGAGCAUGUGGUUUAAUUCGAAGCAACGCGAAGAACCUUACCAAAUCUUGACAUCCUUUGACAACUCUAGAGAUAGAGCCUUCCCCUUCGGGGGGCAAAGUGACAGGUGGUGCAUGGUUGUCGUCAGCUCGUGUCGUGAGAUGUUGGGUUAAGUCCCGCAACGAGCGCAACCCUUAAGCUUAGUUGCCAUCAUUAAGUUGGGCACUCUAAGUUGACUGCCGGUGACAAACCGGAGGAAGGUGGGGAUGACGUCAAAUCAUCAUGCCCCUUAUGAUUUGGGCUACACACGUGCUACAAUGGACAAUACAAAGGGCAGCGAAACCGCGAGGUCAAGCAAAUCCCAUAAAGUUGUUCUCAGUUCGGAUUGUAGUCUGCAACUCGACUACAUGAAGCUGGAAUCGCUAGUAAUCGUAGAUCAGCAUGCUACGGUGAAUACGUUCCCGGGUCU
rnacentral:rRNA from 1 species